GAUGAACGCUGGCGGCGUGCCUAAUACAUGCAAGUCGAGCGAACAGACGAGGAGCUUGCUCCUCUGACGUUAGCGGCGGACGGGUGAGUAACACGUGGAUAACCUACCUAUAAGACUGGGAUAACUUCGGGAAACCGGAGCUAAUACCGGAUAAUAUAUUGAACCGCAUGGUUCAAUAGUGAAAGACGGUUUUGCUGUCACUUAUAGAUGGAUCCGCGCCGCAUUAGCUAGUUGGUAAGGGAACGGCUUACCAAGGCAACGAUGCGUAGCCGACCUGAGAGGGUGAUUGGCCACACGGGAACUGAGACACGGUACAGACUCCGACGGGGGGCCGCAGUAGGGAAUCCUCCGGAAUGGGCGAAAGCCUGACGGAGCAAAGCCGCGUGAGGGCUGACGGUCUUCGGAUCGUAAAACUAUGUUAUUAGGGAAGAACAAAUGUGUAAGUACCUAUGCACGUCUUGACGGUACCUAAUCAGAAAGCCACGGCUAACUACGUG
rnacentral:rRNA from 1 species